UACGAAGGGUGCAAGCGUUAAUCGGAAUUACUGGGCGUAAAGGGUGCGUAGGCGGUUCGUUAAGUCUGUUGUGAAAUCCCCGGGCUCAACCUGGGAAUGGCAAUGGAUACUGGCGAGCUAGAGUGUGAUAGAGGAUGGUGGAAUUCCCGGUGUAGCGGUGAAAUGCGUAGAGAUCGGGAGGAAUAUCAGUGGCGAAGGCGGCCAUCUGGAUCAACACUGACGCUGAAGCACGAAAGCGUGGGGAGCAAACAGG
rnacentral:rRNA from 1 species